UACGUAGGUGGCAAGCGUUGUCCGGAAUUAUUGGGCGUAAAGCGCGCGCAGGCGGUCCUUUAAGUCUGAUGUGAAAGCCCACGGCUCAACCGUGGAGGGUCAUUGGAAACUGGGGGACUUGAGUGCAGAAGAGGAAAGCGGAAUUCCACGUGUAGCGGUGAAAUGCGUAGAGAUGUGGAGGAACACCAGUGGCGAAGGCGGCUUCCUGGACCGGUAUUGACGCUGAUGCGCGAAAGCCAGGGGAGCAAACGGG
rnacentral:rRNA from 1 species